rnacentral:rRNA from 2 species
CUUCUGCCAAAACCCAAACUUUCUAUGGUUGACCUCGGAUCAGGUAGGGAUACCCGCUGAACUUAAGCAUAUCAAUAAGCGGAGGA